rnacentral:rRNA from 1 species
AUGGCCAUGGCGGGCAUAGAGCAUGUGAGCUCGGCUGGUUCUACUGUCCCGGUCCAGAGGAAGUGCAACAACCACCCUCAGGCCAUCCAGGUUUCGGUCGCCAUGGAAGAUGUCUCCACAACAAGCAUCACCGAUGCCGCGCGCUUGGUGCAGCUGCUCAAGAUCGACGGCUAUUGCGCGACCGAUAACGUAGGCGCGAGCAACAGCUAUUCCAUCAAAUCCAGAUGGAACGUCGACGGGUAUGAUUGGGAAAUCUGUAUCUAUCUUGAUCUCCAAUGGUCGGUAGCACUGGAGCUAAUCUUCCGAAGUCGAUCCCGCGCCAACAAUUAUGUGAGGGCAAAUCUCGAUGUGAUCAAGGAUGAUGCCCUGACUCUGGAGUGCACCAUCACCGUCCUCAAGGAAUUACCAAUGCAAACAUUCCCCGUCAAACAAAUCCCAAUGCCUGCCGUGCCAUCUUCCAACUUGCACGAGCACUUCGGCGAGCUCCUGCAGAGCGAGAAGGGCGUGGACGUCACAUUCCUCGUGUCCGACGAGUCUUUUGUGGCGCACAAAGCCGUACUCGCCGCGAGGUCCCCUGUGUUCAUGGCCCAGUUCUACGGGUAA